GGGGUGGGACCCUCCGUGUCUGUAUCGCGGGGAACUUUGUGUGAGAUGAGCAACACCGAGCUGCGGCUGAGGAGCCGGCUGUUAGUAGUGAACAGAAUGAAUAACUGCUCCGGCCAGGAAUGUCCCGUGUAACCAGAUUUCAGAAAUAAAGAGGACAAAAAGCAGCAUUCCCAGUGAAAAGAUAUCUUCAUACACUGCCCUUGCCAUCAAUGGAUCAAAGAUUAAAAGAUCUUUAGCAGUGGAGGCUGAAAGAGGCUUGGCUGAGUGACAACUGAAAGGAUACCUGAAAGUGAAUUUGGAAAGUGCAGGAAGGAUAUUGCAACGUUCUCACGUGUGUCCCGUACUCGUUUUCCUGCAGAGUGUUGGAAAUCUGUUUCAAAAUCUGUCACUUUGGCUGACCUUUGGGAAGCCUCCAUUGAUGU